UCGCAAGACUAAAACUCAAAGGAAUAGACGGGGGCUCACACAAGUGGUGGAACAUGUGGUUUAAUUCGAUACUACGCGCAAAACCUUACCAGUUCUUGACAUGAUCCUUAUGGAUCACAGGUGUUGCAUGGCUGUCGUCAGCUCGUGUGGUGACAUGUUGGAUUAAUUUCCCGAACGAGCGAAACCCUGCUAUAUUGUAAUAACUUUAUGUAAUUCAAUAUAGACCGCCAGUGAUAGACUGGAGGCAGGAUAGGAUGACGUCAAGUCCUCAUGACCCUUAUGAACUGGGCUACACACGUGUUACAAUGGUGUAAACAAAACGUAGCAAUGAUGAAAAUCGGAGCCAAUCGCUAAAUUACACCUCAGUACGGAUUGGUGUCUGCAACUCGACUCCAUGAAGCCGGAAUCACUAGUAAUCGUGGAUCAGCAUGCCACGGUGAAUACGUACCUGAGCCUUGUACUCCCCGCCCGUCACACUCUGGGAGUAGUAUGUAGUGGAAGUAUCCUUGAUGUAUUUAUAUUUUACCUAUAUUUUGAAAAUACAGAAUUAAUGUAAGUAUAGGAAUAGGGUCCCAGACCGCAUAUCACAACUGGAGUG
rnacentral:rRNA from 1 species